GGGAGUGCAUCAGCUCAGUGGUAGAGAGCAUGCCUUUGAGUGUAUGAUGUCCUGGGUUCAAACGCCAGCUUCUCUCUCG